rnacentral:rRNA from 1 species
AUGAACGCUGGCGGCGUGCCUGAUACAUGCAAGUCGAGCGAACGGACGAGAAGCUUGCUUCUCUGAUGUUAGCGGCGGACGGGUGAGUAACACGUGGAUAACCUACCUAUAAGACUGGGAUAACUUCGGGAAACCGGAGCUAAUACCGGAUAAUAUUUUGAACCGCAUGGUUCAAAAGUGAAAGACGGUCUUGCUGUCACUUAUAGAUGGAUCCGCGCUGCAUUAGCUAGUUGGUAAGGUAACGGCUUACCAAGGCAACGAUGCAUAGCCGACCUGAGAGGGUGAUCGGCCACACUGGAACUGAGACACGGUCCAGACUCCUACGGGAGGCAGCAGUAGGGAAUCUUCCGCAAUGGGCGAAAGCCUGACGGAGCAACGCCGCGUGAGUGAUGAAGGUCUUCGGAUCGUAAAACUCUGUUAUUAGGGAAGAACAUAUGUGUAAGUAACUGUGCACAUCUUGACGGUACCUAAUCAGAAAGCCACGGCUAACUACGUG